rnacentral:rRNA from 1 species
AGAGCGAACGCUGGCGGCAGGCCUAACACAUGCAAGUCGAGCGCCCGUAGCAAUACGGGAGCGGCAGACGGGAGAGUAACACGUGGGAACGCGCCCUUCGGUUCGGAAUAACUCAGGGAAACUUGAGCUAAUACCGGAUACGCCCUUACGGGGAAAGAUUUAUUGCCGAAGGAACGGCCCGCGUCCGAUUAGCUUGUUGGUGAGGUAAUGGCUCACCAAGGCGACGAUCGGUAGCUGGUCUGAGAGGAUGACCAGCCUCACUGGGACUGAGACACGGCCCAGACUCCUACGGGAGGCAGCAGUGGGGAAUAUUGGACAAUGGGCGCAAGCCUGAUCCAGCCAUGCCGCGUGGAUGAUGAAGGCCCUAGGGUUGUAAAGUCCUUUUAACGGGAAGAUAAUGACGGUACCGUAGAAUAAGCCCGGCUAACUUCGCGCCAGCACGCCGC